CCUGGAGGAAGAGAGCUCACUUGGCAACAGCAAGCAGAUGAGCAGGAGAAAAAACACUUAACAAAGGCUGAGAGCAAGUGAAACAGUAUAAAAAAUGUUUUGAGAGCUGAAAGUGUUAAAUACUUGUUUUUUAAUUAAUUUUUUUUAUUUUUGAGAUCAAUGUGGAUUCAUAUACAGUUGUAAGAAAUAAUACAGUGUUCCCAGGUGCCCUUUACCGUUUUUCCCAAUGGUAACAUCUUGCAAAACAAUAUUACAUGCAGCAUGUUGACAUUCAAACAGUCAAGAUCCAGAACAUUUCAACGGCCCAAGGAUUCCUCAGAUUGCCCUUUUAGAACCACAUCCACUUCCUUCCUACCCGUGUUCCCUCCUUAACCACUGGCAACCACUGAUCUAUUCCCCAUUUCUAUAGUUUUACCGUUUCAAGCAUGUUCUAUAAAUGGAAGCAUAUAGUAUCCAGCCUUUGAGAAUUUUUUUUCACUCCAAAAUUCACUGCAAAUUCAUCCUGCAUUCACUGCAUUCACUGCAGAGUCUUCCAGGUAUCAGUAGUUGAUUCCCUUUUAUUGCUGAGUCAUUGUAUAGAUGGUUCAUCAUUCACUCCUUGAAGGGCAUCUGGGUUUUUUUCUGGGUUUUGGCUAUCAUGAAUAAAGUUGGUGUGAACAUUCACAUACAGUCGAAGGAGAGAAAAAAUAAUUUUCCCUCUAGUCUUUUCAGUUCUUGGCUGAGACCCUCCCACCGCCCAUUAUACAAGACAGACUGACAGAAGUAAAAGAAACAGAAGUUUGAUAACAUAUAUACCUCUUGCGUACAUGGGAGAGACCCGGGAAAACUGUGUCACUACCACGUAUACGGAAGACGUUUAUGUUUGUUCGUUUCCACUUGGCACGGCUCUGUCCUGGGUCGGCCCUCUAAAGCUGGCCUCGCGGGCACACUCAACUCCGUGGUGCUGAGGAAGGGACGCGACAAAUACUCCGAGCGCGGCAGAGCGCCCUUGGGCUCCGAGAGGGCUCCCGGGGAGAGAACCGGCCACCAGAAAGUGACUCUGGGAACCAGGAUUGAGCGGCCUGAGCACAGGAGAUGGUCAGAAGCCACGGACGCUUUCUGCCCCAGCGUCUUCCUUCGCAGUUUAUAUUGACAGGACCCUGGCAGUUUUGAAUGGGAAUGGCUCUCGAGUGGACAGGAUCAAGGCGGCAGGAAAAUAAAGCUGCAUCACACAAGCUCACCGACACAGUCUUACUUGGCACAGACGGUAACUUUAAUAUUACUUCCAUGGCUCACGGAGUGAAUGCUACGAUGGCAGAAAAGGCCAAGUGGAAGCCACUAGAAACUCCUCUAACGAUGACAACAGUGAAACAACAGCAGAGAUCACAGAGGUUAGUGCCAACAUCGGGGACUAGAAAGCGACAGGGUAGAGAUUCCCUCCGUCUCACUAUUCUGUGAUUGUAUCUGUAUCUGUAUCUGUCGUCGUAGAAGAGAGGUCGCUCGUGCAGGGUGACAGAAGCUACUGUCAGUGUCGUCGAGGGGUUGUUCCCAUUGCGCGUGCGAUUCCAGACGCCAUUUCAUCCGUGGAGAAAUUUAACGCGGGCACCUAGCGUGCAGCCGCGGGCAGGGCUGGUGCUGUGUUCUCUGUGCCUAACCGUCGAACCCGCCGGAAGCAGUGGACUUUCCGCUGGCUCAGCCAGCAGCCCCCCUGUCUACCCCACCUCAGGGCAUAUCAACACUCCCAUCCCACGGCCUAAGUUAGGCACGGAGACCUUCACCCCCAAGACCAUGCCCUAAAGUUGAAAGCUGAUUCUUGUUUGACACAUGGACAUUUGAGGCAAAUGUAUAUUUUGCAAACUGACCACAAGACGAGCGGGUGUGCCUUUCCAGAACUGGCUCGGUCUUGUGGGCCUCCUUUGUGUCUCCAACCCAGUCGUAGUCCACUCGGGCUGCUGUAACAGAGGCACCAUAGACUGGGUGGCUUACACGACAAGCAUGUAUCUCUCGAAGUUCUGGAAGCUGGGAAGUCCCAGCUCAAGGCAGGAGCAGAUUCUGAAUCUGGGGAAGUGUCCUUCCUGGCUUCCUGGCUCAUAGAGGGCAGUCUUUCUCUGUGUCUACACCUGAAGGAAUGGGGGAGCGAACUCUCCAGGGUCUCUUUUAUAAGCACCUAUUCCCAUUCUUGAGGGCCCCACCCUCGUGACUCUAUCACCUCCCAAGGCCCCACCCCCAGGUACCAUCACCCUAUUGGGGAUUAGGGUUCAAGGCACCAAUUUGGGAGGAACACGCAUAGUCCACAGCAAUCCCCCGAACACCCACUUCCUUUUCUGACUUCAAAUAGGUUUGGUGCAGAGUAAGUUGAUGCGAGCCUCCUGGGCACGGUGGCCAGUGACACGAGGGGUCACAGGUCGGGCUAGGGUCACCGUCCACUCCUGGCCACCUCAGUUUUCUUUCCUGUCUCUUGUGAAAAACAUCUUUCUUCCUACAUCGUCCAAAGAAGUGAUACUGAACCGUGACACUAAAA